UUUUCAGUAGCACCAACUUAUUCCGAUUCAUUUUGAUAGACUACACACCGGUUGAUUCGUGCAUUAGUUUACAACAAGAGGAUUCCCCCUCUCAAAAUCGUGCACCAGGACGUCCGGUGGCUGGUGGUGUGGUCGGUUGGUGUGCAGGCAGGCAGGCAGGCAGGGCAGGAUAGGCUCCAGGCUGACCGUGUGUAGUAGUACAGUAGACUAGAAACUGCUGCAGGAGAGAUUACUAUUUUGGUACAAAGUCACAAUGAGUGCACGCGGUGAAGAAGCCGGGGGAGAGUUCAGGGACCGGGACCCAGGAGCAGGAGCCAGCGGCGGCUGCAGAGGCUCCGGCCAAGCGCAGACCGGGCAGACCGAGGAAGCCUGUUAAGGAACCUACUGGAGAGCCCGUCCCUAAACGACCAAGGGGUCGUCCCAGAGGCAGCAAGAACAAAUGCCCCUCCAAGGCAGCCGCCAGGAAAGCCCUGGCCUCUGGAGAGAAGAGACCUAGAGGCAGACCCAGGAAAUGGGUGAGUCACCUUUGACCCCAUUCCACCAAACACUGAGUGUGUGUGUGUGUGU